rnacentral:rRNA from 1 species
CCUACGGGGGGCAGCAGUGAGGAAUAUUGGUCAAUGGACGAGAGUCUGAACCAGCCAAGUAGCGUGAAGGAUGACUGCCCUAUGGGUUGUAAACUUCUUUUAUAUGGGAAUAAAAUGUUCCACGUGUGGGAUUUUGUAUGUACCAUAUGAAUAAGGAUCGGCUAACUCCGUGCCAGCAGCCGCGGUAAUACGGAGGAUCCGAGCGUUAUCCGGAUUUAUUGGGUUUAAAGGGAGCGUAGGUGGAUUGUUAAGUCAGUUGUGAAAGUUUGCGGCUCAACCGUAAAAUUGCAGUUGAAACUGGCAGUCUUGAGUACAGUAGAGGUGGGCGGAAUUCGUGGUGUAGCGGUGAAAUGCUUAGAUAUCACGAAGAACUCCGAUGGCGAAGGCAGUUCACUGGACUGCAACUGACACUGAGGCUCGAAAGUGUGGGUAUCAAACAGGAUUAGAUACCCUAGUAGUC